rnacentral:rRNA from 1 species
AGAGUUUGAUCCUGGCUCAGGAUGAACGCUAGCGACAGGCUUAACACAUGCAAGUCGAGGGGCAGCAUGAUUUGUAGCAAUACAGAUUGAUGGCGACCGGCGCACGGGUGAGUAACGCGUAUGCAACUUACCUAUCAGAGGGGGAUAACCCGGCGAAAGUCGGACUAAUACCGCAUGAAGCAGGGGCCCCGCAUGGGGAUAUUUGCUAAAGAUUCAUCGCUGAUAGAUAGGCAUGCGUUCCAUUAGGCAGUUGGCGGGGUAACGGCCCACCAAACCGACGAUGGAUAGGGGUUCUGAGAGGAAGGUCCCCCACAUUGGUACUGAGACACGGACCAAACUCCUACGGGAGGCAGCAGUGAGGAAUAUUGGUCAAUGGACGCAAGUCUGAACCAGCCAUGCCGCGUGCAGGAAGACGGCUCUAUGAGUUGUAAACUGCUUUUGUACGAGGGUAAACGCAGAUACGUGUAUCUGUCUGAAAGUAUCGUACGAAUAAGGAUCGGCUAACUCCGUGCCAGCAGCCGCGGUAAUACGGAGGAUUCAAGCGUUAUCCGGAUUUAUUGGGUUUAAAGGGUGCGUAGGCGGUUUGAUAAGUUAGAGGUGAAAUUUCGGGGCUCAACCCUGAACGUGCCUCUAAUACUGUUGAGCUAGAGAGUAGUUGCGGUAGGCGGAAUGUAUGGUGUAGCGGUGAAAUGCUUAGAGAUCAUACAGAACACCGAUUGCGAAGGCAGCUUACCAAACUAUAUCUGACGUUGAGGCACGAAAGCGUGGGGAGCAAACAGGAUUAGAUACCCUGGUAGUCCACGCAGUAAACGAUGAUAACUCGUUGUCGGCGAUACACAGUCGGUGACUAAGCGAAAGCGAUAAGUUAUCCACCUGGGGAGUACGUUCGCAAGAAUGAAACUCAAAGGAAUUGACGGGGGCCCGCACAAGCGGAGGAACAUGUG